rnacentral:rRNA from 1 species
UACAGAGACUGCAAGCGUUAUUCGGAUUCACUGGGCGUAAAGGGUGCGCAGGCGGUUGGGUGUGUCAGAUGUGAAAUCCCGAGGCUCAACCUCGGAACUGCGUCUGAAACUACUCGACUAGAGUACUGGAGAGGGUAACGGAAUUCACGGUGUAGCAGUGAAAUGCGUAGAUAUCGUGAGGAACACCAGAGGCGAAGGCGGCUACCUGGACAGUUACUGACGCUCAGGCACGAAAGCAUGGGGAGCAAAAGGG